CUCUGCCCGUCGUACAGGUUGACUUUUCUCAACGAAUAUACGUUUCGAAACGACAUAGAGUAAAUACUUAAUACGAAACAACAAAGGUAUUGGUCAUUGUCAACAUAAAUUGUGAUUUACGUAUUGCUGCUACGGAUUAACGUGCUUACAUGAAGUAAUAAAUGCAAUCAAAGACCCAAAAUACAGUUAGAAUUUACUGAGGUCGUAGUGAAUAUCAGCAUCCUUCAGGACAGAAACUUAUACAGUGGUAAAGAUGUAGAAGAUGGAUGACCAAAACUGAGAGAGAAUUCUAGGACAGAAAAGAUGUAGAUGUUGGAUAACCAUCCUGGAACAGAACCGUAGGACAAGAAAGAUGUAGAUGAUGGGUGACCAAGCUGGGACAGAAUGCCAAGACAGGAAAGAUGUAGAAAUGAGUGGACCAGGAAGCAAAGAAUCAUUACACCAAGGUGUGCUCGGUUGUCUUGGACACUCCUAAUGUCCCCUGUGACAGGUCAGCCAGCAGCGACAAAGUCAUUAGUAUCGGGGUGGACACCCACCUUCCAGGCAACGAGAACAGCAGCUCAUCAUCGACGAUGUUUUCUUUUUCUAUUGUGGUGGGCAUCCGCAUACUAUAAGCGCAGCCAAUACACUAGCAGCACCACGUGUCGACGUCACGGGCACAGAGAAGACAUCACCUAUUGGCUGGAGACGCUGUGGCUCUGCUGUUACCACAACAGAAACAUUACAUCAUUGUGAGGCUACAUCAGUACAGUCAGAAAUGUUUACCUGGCAUUUAAAACUGAUUUUUGUUUACAAUAAACAAAUUAUUUGAGCAA